rnacentral:rRNA from 1 species
AGGACGAACGCUGGCGGCGUGCUUAACACAUGCAAGUCGAGCGGUAAGGCCUUUCGGGGUACACGAGCGGCGAACGGGUGAGUAACACGUGGGUGAUCUGCCCUGCACUUCGGGAUAAGCCUGGGAAACUGGGUCUAAUACCGGAUAUGACCUCAGGUUGCAUGACUUGGGGUGGAAAGAUUUAUCGGUGCAGGAUGGGCCCGCGGCCUAUCAGCUUGUUGGUGGGGUAAUGGGCCUACCAAGGCGACGACGGGUAGCCGACCCUGAGAGGGUGACCGGCCACACUGGGACUGAGACACGGCCCAGACUCCGUACGGGAGGCGAGCAGUGGGGGAAUAGUUGCACAAUGGGCGAAAGCCUGAUGCAGCGACGCCGCGUGAGGAUGACGCUCGGUUCGUAACUCUUCUGCAGGACGAAGCGCAAGUGACGGUACCU